CCCUAAGCAGCUCUACGAGCACUGACCUUUUAAGCCAGAGGAGGGAUCACAAACCCCUUAGGGC